rnacentral:lncRNA from 1 species
CUUUAUAUAUUUAUCUUUUAACUGAUAUAAAUUAUUUUAAAUAUAAAAUACUAUAACAUUUAAUUUGCAUUUGCAAACAGACUUAUAUUUUAGGAAUUAUUUCCAUAAAAUUAUUCGGGCAAGUGAAUUUGAUAAAUAGUUAAACGAAUAACAAGAUUUUUGUACUGGUUGCCGCAUUUUUCUUUUUAUUUCACAGCAUUUGUGACCAUGUUUACUUUAUUAAUUUAAAAAUAGAACAAUAUAACUUUAAAAUGAAUACUUUAAGGAUAUGAACUUUGAAACAUGUAUAUUUGAUACAAAAAAUAGAAUUAAUACGAUUACAGCAAUUUAUUCAUUUUGUGGAAAUGUAUCGCGGUAAAUGUGCUUUAACUAUAAUUGCUAGUAAAAUAAUGUGCUUGUUCUCACAAAAAAAGUAUGAGAACACUAAAUCUAAAUCAACAAAAUCAUAUAUGCAAUAAAAGUAAUUACGUAUUGUAAGCCUUACUUAUUCGGCUUAUUCUAUGAUAGGUUAUUAAAUUGUUGUUAUGCCUAUACAUUUUAGUUGUAUCUGCAUUUUACUAUUAAGAAAAAAUACGUGUAAAAAAAUUCAAAAGUCAUUAGAUACUGGCAAAGCGUACGUGCUUUAAUAAAACAUAAAUCUCGCAUAGAAAUCUUCAAAUUGGUUGAAUAUAACUAUUUCUUUUUUUUUUUUUAUCUAAACUGAAAUCUUCAGAAAUACGUUUAAACAGGUGCUAGGAGCUAUUUACCAUGACACCGGAUUUUGUAACAGGUGCGUGUAUAAACCUAUCAUGACACCGGUUUCUGAAACAGGUGCGUGGAGAAAUCUAUCAUGACACCAGUAAAUGUAAACAGGUGCGUGGAGAAACUUAUCGUGACACCGGCUUUAAUACUCUACAGACUGCAGCUGACAUUAAAUUGCAGAAACAAAACACAAAAUAUACAUUAAAAUACUCGUUUGACAAAGACUGUGUAUCCAUGUCAUCUGUCUCUAUGGACUGAUCAGAAUGCGAAGCACCUGAUUCCAUACGGGAUUCAUUAUCAAGCAUCAGAAACAUCAGAUUCAUCAUUACUGCUUGAGCUAGAAUCAUCAGGAGGUAUUACAUAGUUAACCCUUCGUCUUGGAUAACCUUUGACAGCUUUGCGUUCGGGCCAUUCAGCAAUGUCAGCAAGCCUUAUCUGAUCUGCAUGUACUUGAACAACAGAGUUGUCAAGCUGGUUCUUAAUAAGGACCUCCCUAAAGGCAGAACUUGUAAAUUCUGACCCUCGGUCAUGAAUUAUCUGGAGAGGACAUCCAUAUCUAGGAUAUAUCUCAUUCAAAAAAUCUGGUGGCCGUGAAAAGAAAUCAGCAAUAACAUUUGCCUUUCCUGGAAGAUACUCUAUCUUACAGUUGUAACCACUAAUAGACAAUGCCCAUAACUGAAUUUUCUUGUUUUGCAUUUCACUUUUUAAUAAAUACUGAAGCGGAGAAUGGUCGCUUUUGAUUGUAAAUUCAGCAUUGUGUAAAAAGUAAUUUAAACGUUGCAAAGAAUAAAAAAUGGCAUAUGCCUCCUUCUCAAUA